rnacentral:rRNA from 3 species
GGUCAAGCUACAAAGAGCUAACGGUGGA